rnacentral:lncRNA from 1 species
UGAUAAUGCUAAUUCAAAUCUUCUACUCCUGGAGAUGUACUCUCCUCUGUGGUAUUCAAACUCAAGUCUUGCAGUCUGUUCUCCACUGAAAGUUGUUCGCUGUCGUCUUGGUCUACCUUCUUUUCUCCUUCUCCUGGCAUCUACAACAAUGUAAUCAACGUCAAUACUUUGCAAAUUCUAUGAAAACUUUGUUGAUUGGUGCGUAAAAACGAGUAAGCGUUUGGAAUAUGUGUAUCACGUUUAUUGUUGCGCCAACUGUAAUCCGAUCAAAUUCGACGGACAGUCGACCGACCCAACGAACAGAAGGACUGUCCAGCGAAUUUCAAAGAGAAAGAGAGUGGAAAAAAUAAAUCCAACUAUUUCAUCCCAUCUAACACCUGGAUGAGUUUUCAAGGGGUAUGAGGGUGGAUCUAAACAAACUUCAAUGAUUAAGUGAUCGCCUGAGGAUAAUUGGAUUGGAUGGGAAAUAAUCAUUAAGAAAACAUCUGACGAGUCUAUUAAAAAAAAUAUUUAAACGAAAAAUUAAACCAAAUAAAGAUGGAUAAGUGAGAUGUUUAAUUUAGGGAUAGAUGUUCUUAAGCAUUUAUCUAUUUAAACAGAAAAUCGUUUCACAAGGUUUAAUUAAAAUACAAAAGUGUAUUGAAAAAUUAUUGAUGGAUGAAUGUUUCAAUUAGAAUAAAUUAAACAUGGAAUCAAAUUUAUUAUCUGCAGUUAAGUAUUAAAUAACUACUUGACAAAAGUAAAGCUUAUUAACCUAAGGCUCUAUUUGCUUCAAGUAUCGUCCUUAUACAUAUGUGCAUAUAAAUAUGCUCACCAAGGCUGAAAGCAUUAAUUUAUUUAAUUUAAUUACUCCAUUUACGAAUAGUAAUUACUAAGAGUUUUACCAACUCGAUGAUUGAAACAAAUCAAAUGACUUUGCAGAAGAAGCUUUUGGUAAUAUUAAUCAAGAAGUUGAUCAUCAUUCAUGAUAUUUUUGAUGAAAUUAUCAAUAAGAAUUCUAGUUAUUUUUAAAUGAAGCUAAUCUGAAGGAAUGGAACACAAAAGUGAUAAUUUUUAUUUUAUAAACAAAAGGAUUGUAACAUGAAUUUGAUGAAAGUGAUAAAGAAGAACGUUUUGAUUACAUCCUGUGUCACAAGUUGAUAUCAUUUUGUUGUGGUUACUUAGUUCGAGGAGGGACAAUUAGGAUCCGGUUUCCAUUUUCACUUGACGAGAUUACGCGAAGCCUCGUGCUUACUAACUUCCGGUAUCGUUUUGCCCCGCAUCCUAAUUAUCAGAAGGGGAUGAAUGGUCGAGUGAUAACAGCAGAAACCGAAGAGAAAGAGGAGGAAGAAGAAGAGGAAGUGGUGUUAUACUCAACAUUGAGAUGCGGCCAACUGCGUUCAGUAAUCUCAUCACAAUAUCGCUGCGAGGUGGCGAGGCGGGAUAAACCCCACAACUACCGCGACUCGCGUCUCUAAGCGAGCGUGUGUAACGUUUAUUUUGUAUAACAAUGAGCUACUAUGCCAAUAGAGAAUAAACUAAGCUAUCAAAAUUGAGAAAAUCCAGCUCAGAAAUCAUCCAACUAAAACUCGUUGAAUUAUUUAAUUAAUUGAUCAUAAAUUAAGGUAAUAUAACAAAAAUGGGUUUUAUGUCGAAAUUAACUAUUAUUGCAGGA